rnacentral:rRNA from 1 species
UACGUAGGUGGCAAGCGUUAUCCGGAUUUACUGGGUGUAAAGGGCGUGUAGGCGGUUUUGCAAGUCAGAUGUGAAAUCUCCGGGCUUAACCCGGAAACUGCAUCUGAAACUGCAGAACUUGAGUACUGGAGAGGAUAGUGGAAUUCCUAGUGUAGCGGUAAAAUGCGUAGAUAUUAGGAGGAACACCAGUGGCGAAGGCGACUAUCUGGACAGUAACUGACGCUGAGGCGCGAAAGUGUGGGGAUCAAACAGGAUUAGAUACCCGCGUAGU